ensembl:lncRNA
CUUAUUUUCAAUGACGGCCUAGGAACAGUCGAUUAACUGCCUGUUCAGAGGCAGAACGACAGAUUUGUACCUUGUCAGCUCGGGGGUUUGAACUUGCAACCUUCCAGUUCCUAGUUCAACGCUCUAACCACUAGGCUACCCUGCUGCCCCAUGAUGAGCUUCCCUGAGACGGUUUUUGACAGUUUGUGCAGGAAUUCUUUGGUUGUACAAAUCCACAGUUUCAUCAGCAGUCCGGGUGGCUGGUCUCAGAAUAUCCCGCAGGUGAAGAAGCUGGAUGUGGAGGUCCUGGGCUGGGGUCCUGGGCUGGUGUCCUGGGCUAGGGUCCUGGGCUGGAGUCCUGGGCUUGUGUCCUGGGCUGGGGUCCUGGGCUGGGGUCAUGUGCUGGUGUGGUUUGUGCUGUAUGACAAAACUGCACAUUUGAGUGUGGCCUUUUAUUGUCCCCAGCACAAGGUGCACCUGUGUAAUGAUCAUGCAGUUUAAUCAGAUACUUGAUAUGCCACACCUGUCAAGUGGAUGGAUUAUCUUGGCAAAAGAGAAAUUCUCAAUAACAGUGAUGUAAAACAAAUUUGUACACAACAUUUGAGAGAAAUAAGCUUUUUGUAUGGAACAUUUCUUGGAUCUUUUAUUUCAGCUCAUGAAACAUGGGACCAACACUUUACUGAACAAAAAAUAUAAAUGCAACAUGUAAAGUGUUGGGCCAAUGUCACAGUUGUGAACAGAGUGCCCCAUGGUGGCGGUGGGGUUAUGAUAUGGGCAGGUAUAAACUACGGACAACGAACACAAUUGCAUUUUAUCGAUGGCAAUAUGAAUGCACAGAAAUACCGUGACGAGAUUCUGAGGCCCACUGUGAGGCCCAUUUUUUUUGAAGACAUCUUUUUUUAAGGCAUUCCCAAAUGCGUAUCUGUCUUCCCAGUCAUGUGAAAUCCAGAGAUUAGGGCCGAAUUAAUUGAUUUCAACUGACAGAUUUCCUCAUAUGAACUGUAACUCAGUAAAAAUCGUUUAAAUGGUUGCAUGUUGCGUUUAUAUUUUUGUUCGGUAUAAUUAUAGUCCUAUACUGUUCAAGCAUGUCAUUACAAUGAUGAUGAUAACAAAAUGUAUUUAAUUUAACUGUUGAAAGCGAGAAAGUAAUUAAGUAACAGAAAGAGGAGGGAGGCGAAUACGAACAUUGUACAACAUUAGCGGAAAUAUUUUGAAAGGUUGGCCUAUAUAUGUGAGUCAACCUACCAUUUCUAAAAAUGCCAAAUAGGCCCUAGUAUAUUUCUAAAUGAAAAUUGAAUUCACUAGCCUAUACUUGUAACUUUUUAGACUGCAUGUCCUGCACCAGCAUCGUAUGUUCUCUCCCAACUUCAUGGUUUGAAUGAGGUGCCAGUUAUAUAACACAGUAUAAUACAAUACAGUACUGUAAUACAGUUCACACUCAAAAAGAUUAACCUACUAGAGCUAGUUUCAUUUAUUUAGCCAAGAGAGUAUAUAGCUAGCUACAUCUAUGGGCUUGUAUGUUUUUCUGAUGUGCGUAAUGUGCAGUAUCCUAUAUCAUGUUCUUUUAUUCGAUAAUGGACACAAUCAUUUGGCCGUUUUGGGGCUUGGGCUCAUAAAAUGCAUUUAAUUGUAGGCCAUCGGGCUCAGGUAGCGUCGAGUAUGAAUUAUCAUGCCGAUCAAAGCUCUAAUCAAAUCCAGACAUAUUAAUAUGCUUCUUAGUCUUUAGAGUCCGUCCAACUCAUUCCAAGGAAAGCCGAGUGUCUGCAGGUUUUCCUUGCUUCCUUGUACUUGACUGAUGAAUUAAGGUCACUAAUUAGUAAAGAAUUCCCCUCACCUGGUUGUCUGUCUUAAUUAAAAUGAGAAAAAAAAGAAAGACUCAACUAGGCCGUCCAUGGAAUGAGUUGGACAUCCCUGCUUUAAAACUUCCGGUUUGGGCGCAAAAUACCUGGUUAAAAGGGAUUUAUUCUCCAGAUGGAACAUUUGUAAAAUACCGGGAAAAUAUUCAGCCCAAGGUUGGAUGGAUUUCUGGGCACAUCAACAGGACUUCUGUUCAGUGUUUAUUUUUCUGAACUUUGACUUUUCCAUUAUUAGAAGCAUUCCUGUUGUCAUACAGUACAUGUAUGUAAAGUGAGUUCAAAACCAAAGGGCUGUCAAAUGCAACCGUUGAGUUUUGUGAUUGUAAAGCUUUGAUGUUACUGUCACGUUGGCGUGAAGGGUCAGGAGACAGGCGCAGGAAUGCAUAAUAGUGUUUUUUAUUAAGCCCAAAUGACAGAGUGUCCCGUGUAAAGGCAAGGGGACGAUGACCAAACAAACACUUUUAUAAAACACAGGGUUGAAACCCAAAACAAAAGAGCGAGGAGUGCCUAGAAGAAAUAACACAACGAUUAACACACGGGACGAGACCCGUAAUCAUCUGCGCAAUCCACAAGGGCACGAAAGCCCAAAACACACAGCAUAGGUACUCACACUCACCAAGGGACAUUGUAACAAUAAUCGACAGCCUCAUGGAAAACAAAGGGCACACUUAUACACGUACUGAUCGGUGGGAAUAGGGGACAGGUGUGUGUAAUGAAAGUUCCGGAGGGAUCCGUGACAGUUACCAAUGUUUUGGGUUUUGGAAAAUGCUUACGAAGUGGUUCGCGUUCUUUCCCCCUUUUUAGGAGGUAUUGUUCUCCUUCUGUGAAAAACUCUUCCAUCUCUAGGAGAUUGUUCAUGCCUAAACCAAGUUCACACAUAAACUCUUCCAUCUCUAGAAG